rnacentral:lncRNA from 7 species
ACUUGUUGGAUACGUUCUGACACAGGUAACUUAUUCAACACUGAUGAACUACGUAACUACUUACUUUCAAGAAAGCAAGAGAGGUGGUGUUGCUGGAAGGGCUGGUGCUAAUGAGGUCAGCGCAGGUGCAAAAUGAAUAUUCACCAACUAUGUUUUUUACUUCAACUUUUGUGAUUCUGUUUAUAUUGCAGAUGCUGCCAAGCAGGAUGAGGUGAGUCAUUUUCUUCUUCAUUUCUGGAUAAAAAUAUAUAGUUUGUAACAACAGUGCACGGAGAUCAAUGAGGUCAGAAAAAACACAUUAACCAAUUGCUGCCAAAGUCAAAAAGAAAUUCCUGAGGCUGAGCUAUGUGGCUUCCAGACAGUUGCUCUGGCAGUUUCCAGGUGCUGUUAUGUGUAAUGCAGUCUGGGCAAGGAACAGAUCAAGGCAAAAUUAUAAGCCAGAAAAAUCAGGAUUUUUUGAUAUUUACCUGGUGACAACAUUGUAAGGCUUACUUGGUGACUUUCAGAUCCUAAAUCACAUAUCUAACAUUUUAAUUUAUCCCUGACUGCACUGGAUUGUCUGCCCAGAAGUCACCCUCUGAGAUAAUGAGGCACUAAGCAGUAAAACUUGCUCAGGUGAGAAAAGAGUUCAUUGGGGACUGCAGUGAACAGCAGCGGUGUGUAGAAAUUCAUGUGGAAUAUUGAUAACCAAAAACCCUAAAACCACGACAACAGCACACACAGCCUCUGAUGCUGAAACUCAGGCUAAGGCACACAGUGUUUUCCAGGAGGAGCCUGUUCCACUUUCUUUUCCAUUUUACUAACUGUUUUGUAUAUAUGAGGAAAAUCCAUCAGGUUUCUAGCCUGUUUUAUUAGCUGACCCUCACCUCCCACAGGUUAGCAAUUGACCAGCCUUAUAUUGAAAAUUGCAAGCUAUGGAUUCCUCCCAUGCCACUGCUUUUGCUGGGUUAUGUGGCAGAAAACAGCUGUUCAUUAUGUCUCGGACCUCCUCCUGCGAAUGGGUCCACAGUGUUUGACAUGCGUUGGAGGAGAGAGAAGUGAUCAAUCAAGGGAAAAGACUGGGUUAAACAGUGUCCCAUAUGCUUCGCUUAUGGGGCAAUGGAUUUGAGCCCAGAAUACCUGAAGGAAUACUUGGUUAAUGACCCUUUUGCCAGGGGAGACCUCUCAAUUUGCCGAUCAUCACUGCACCCACAGCACAGGCUGCUGAAGGAGCUGACUACACAUGGCUCAUUGCUCCUCACUCACAUGCAGACCCUGGACAACAACUGUCACAAAAACAGUCAUACAACCUGCAAUAAGCUCCAGGUCUUGGUUGGAGUAAUAUUCCUUCACUAAGAGAUGGGAUGAAGGGUAAAUAAUGGGGCCACAACAAGAGAGCAGCAAAGCCAGGUUCUAUUUUAAAUGCUUACGUGUGUAAUACAUAUUUCUGAUAGAUCUUCAGAGAGAACAAGCUCCAGUCUUAGCCUCCCUGCAAAGACUAAUGCUUCAAAUUCUCACCAGACUGGCAGUGAGCAGAGCUGAGCCAACAUUACUUGCAGUGGCACAUAAAAAGAGAGGUGAUUUCCUAGGCGAGCAAACUCCAAGCUUGCAAGGAUAACAGAUAAUACAUUGAAUAGAACAUGUGAACUAUACAAGAAACUCCUCAGCUGGCACAUACCAGGAAUGACAUUCAUGUCACAAAAGAAGACUGAGCUCCAGAAAGAGGACAGGAGCUCUUUCAGGGAUCUCUUUUAUUAGCUUGUACUCCCACUUUUAUAUAUAUACUUCUGUAACAAAUACAGUCCCAUUGUUAGAACAGAGAGAGCCUUUCAACAGUUUCUUUCCAUUUUCCCAGGACUUUGUCUAAUUCUGCCUGGCAGGAUCUCUUCACCGUUGUGAAAAGUUAUAUUUGUGGAAUAAAAAGACAGAAACCCUUCACAUCCUUGAAAAAUGAUCUUUCUUUAAUUUACUGACAAUUGCAAGCAUGGAGAAAAUAUAUAUUAAGACUCAAAAUCUGUAGAUGGAAAAUGGGCUACAUUAUUUUCCUUUUUUUAUUCAAGUAGACAGCAAAGUCCCCAGAGGUGCUCAAUACCUGCCAUCAUACUUUUCUUUAUUAUGGCUUGGGCUAAGCUAGUGCAGAUGGUGGAGCUCCACUGACUGCUGCUCUACAGAAGCUGAUAGCCUUGCCCAAAGAUGUUGUCUAUCCAUUAUUUCUGUAUGUGAAUGAUGAAUGUGAGAAAGACUUACUCCAACAAAAAUAUUGUAUUUGCAGGUAGACUGCAGUGAAUACAGGAGGUUAGAGAGAGGAAGACCUAUUUACUGCGAAAAGCUCUACCAACCUUUCUGUGGCUCUGAUGGGAAAACAUACAACAACAAAUGUUCUUUCUGCAAGGCAGUCCUGAGGAGCAGAGGAGCCUUACAUAUGAAGCAAGCAGGUGUAUGCUGAAUUAAUUCUGCAUGACAGAGAAGAAUGCCAAGAACAGCUUUACACUGCCUUAUCAUGAUCUCCUAAUUUAAUUUCAUUCAUCUUGCCUGUACUAAUAAUAGUGAACAAAGCUCCACGUACACCUUUCAGCCGUGCUCUGAUGUCUGCUGCUUCUCCCUGCUUCAGAGUGCAGGGACUGACACUUCUGUCAUCCCUGCAAAUCUUCCUCAGGAUACCCAUAAGCAUUCCUCUUUCUGUAGCAUAUAGGUUUUCAUGUGAGCACUGCAUUAUGUAUUUGUCUCCAUAGUGAAAGUUCAAAUCCUUACAUUGCCACCUGCAGGCAUUGCUCAGUUUUCCUUGCUGGAGCUUGCUCCCCCUUGUUCUUUUCAGAUUCUUCCUUUCAAAAGCUUCAGCUUUCCUAUGAAGUACAUGGACUCUUCCAGUUUUGUAGCUAAAUUUUUAAUUCUCAUUUUUUCUUUUAACUUUGUACAAUUCUGAUUCACAUACGUUGUGUAACUUCUUAGGUUGCAUGUUUAUUAAAAUAAAUGUAGGCUCUU